rnacentral:rRNA from 1 species
GACGAACGCUGGCGGCGUGCCUAAUACAUGCAAGUCGUGCGGACCUUGUUGAAUGUUUGCUUUUAAACGGUUAGCGGCGGGCGGGUGAGUAACACGUGGGCAUGCUGCCUGUAAGACUGGGAUAACGCCGGGAAACCGGGGCUAAUACCAGAUCGUUUCUUCCUCCGCAUGGAGGAAAAAGGAAAGGCGGCUUCGGCUGUCACUUACCGAUGGGCCCGCGGCGGAUUUGCUUGUUGGCGGGGUAAUGGCUCACCAAGGCGACGAUGCGUAGCCGACCUGAGAUGGUGGGUGGCCGAAAUGGGACUGAGACACGGCCCAAACUGCUGCGGGGAGCAGCAGUAGGGAAUCUUUCGCCAUGGGCGGGAAGCUGACGGAGCAACGCCGCGUGGGUGAAGAACGCCUUCGGGUCGGAAAACUCUGUUUCCGGGGAAGAACAAGCGCCGUCCGAACACGGCGGCGCCUUGACGGUACCCGGCCAGAAAGCCACGGCUAACUACGUG